CUGUCCGCUCGGGCUCCGGAGGAAGCCACCGCCGCCAGUCUGAGGCAGGUGCCCGACAUGGCGAGUGCUGUGCUGCCGAGCGGGUCCCAGUGUGCGGCGGCGGUGGCGGCGGUGGCGGCGGCGGCGGCGCCUCCCGGGCUCCGACUCCGGCUUCUGCUGUUGCUCCUCUCCGCCGCGGCCCUGAUCCCCACAGGUGGCGGAAAUACUCGGUUAUGACUCCAAAAGGAAGUGCAAAAGGAGGCCGACCCAAGCCAGGAGAUAAUAUCAAAGAGAAAUACUUCCAGCAACAUCAGCAAAUGGUAAAGAUACCAUCAGAAACAAACAUUUGCUGCCUUCUGCCUUCCCUACCAGUUUUAAUUCAGAAAAUUUAAAUGAUUUUUCUCAUAUCGAAAAUGAGUUAAAAUACUAGGGAGUCUUUUAUUCUUCAUAAACCGAAGUCAGAGUAAUUUAUUUUAUCUAGAAGAGAGUAUUAAAUUAGCUGUCAACUGUGCUACACAGGUGGAUGGUAACUUUUGAAUGAAAUGACCAAAUCUCCGGUCCCGAGGCAUUCAUUUUAAUCUCUGCUUUCCAUUGAAAUAGGCAAAACAUGAAAUGUUGAGAUAAUAGUACUAAAAUUCCAAGUAAUUGCUUUUGUUAGCUCAACUCAUGUUUACUCCUAUUAAUUACUGAAAUUUGAUAACCCCUUUGUUUUCUACUUAGCAUGACUCUGAAAGCAAGGGACAGAGCUAUAAAUCAGGUAGGCGGUUCUCAGCUAAAGGCAGGACUCCUUUGCUUUGAUGUUGGCAGCUUAAAGCUAAUUCCUUUGGCGGGAUAGGUUUAUAAUUCAAGAAGAUGUGAUUUAAUGUUGAUGGAAUUUAUUUUUGAAAUAUGUUCUAGGAAGAAAGCCUUUCAAAGUAAAUGAAGUUUUGAGGUGGGUCUUAAGUAAACAAAGACCGUCAGGAUCUCUAAACACCCCACUUUGGAGAUCUCUAUAGGAUAGGUGUGCGGAUGCAGUGCGGGAGGGGAAUGAUGAGGGGAUGACGUGAAUAGGGAGGAUAUGGCAGCUCUGGAGGCUUCUGAGUAAGCUGUGCAAUUGAAGACCUCAACUUGUGUCCUCUCUUUCUAAAUCUAUGUUACCUUCUUCAUAAUAACAUUUCAUUAGUGGUGUCCCUUAUAAGUUAUAAAGGCGACCCUAAUAGGUAUGAGGUUGUUUUGUUUUUGUUUUGAUUUUAAUUUUUUUCAAACUAAAGGCUUGUAAGAGUUUGGAGAAAUUCUGAAUCCAUUUUCCCCCCAUCCUGCUAAUGCCACAGAUUUCUGCAACCUCUCCGUCAUCUCAUUCAUACAUUCUUCCCCUCAGGAAAUACUAAGUGCCAGGGACUGCUAGGCAUUGGAGAUUGAGCAGGCCACCAGCCAGA
rnacentral:lncRNA from 1 species